rnacentral:rRNA from 1 species
CAGUCGAGCGACGAGGAAGAAACUUGUUUCUUCCUUUGUUAGCGGCGGAUGGGUGAGUAACACGUGGGCAACCUGCCCUGCAGUUGGGGAUAACUCCGGGAAACCGGGGCUAAUACCGAAUAAUCAGUUCCUUCGCAUGAAGGAACUCUGAAAGACGGCUAUGCUGUCACUGCAGGAUGGGCCCGCGGCGCAUUAGCUAGUUGGUGAGGUAACGGCUUACCAAGGCGACGAUGCGUAGCCGACCUGAGAGGGUGAUCGGCCACACUGGGACUGAGACACGGCCCAGACUCCUACGGGAGGCAGCAGUAGGGAAUCUUCCACAAUGGACGAAAGUCUGAUGGAGCAACGCCGCGUGAGCGAAGAAGGUUUUCGGAUCGUAAAGCUCUGUUGUGAGGGAAGAACAAGUACAGGAGUAACUGCCUGUACCUUGACGGUACCUCAUUAGAAAGCCACGGCUAACUACGUGCCAGCAGCCGCGGUAAUACGUAGGUGGCAAGCGUUGUCCGGAAUUAUUGGGCGUAAAGCGCGCGCAGGCGGCCUUUUAAGUCUGAUGUGAAAGCCCACGGCUUAACCGUGGAAGGUCAUUGGAAACUGGAAGGCUUGAGUACAGAAGAGGAAAGCGGAAUUCCACGUGUAGCGGUGAAAUGCGUAGAGAUGUGGAGGAACACCAGUGGCGAAGGCGGCUUUCUGGUCUGUAACUGACGCUGAGGCGCGAAAGCAUGGGGAGCAAACAGGAUUAGAUACCCUGGUAGUCCAUGCCGUAAACGAUGAGUGCUAAGUGUUAGGGGGUUUCCGCCCCUUAGUGCUGGAGCAAACGCAUUAAGCACUCCGCCUGGGGAGUACGGCCGCAAGGCUGAAACUCAAAGGAAUUGACGGGGACCCGCACAAGCGGUGGAGCAUGUGGUUUAAUUCGAAGCUACGCGAAGAACCUUACCAGGUCUUGACAUCCCGCUGACCGGUAUAGAGAUAUACCUUUCCCUUCGGGGACAGCGGUGACAGGUGGUGCAUGGUUGUCGUCAGCUCGGGUCGGGAGAUGUUGGGUUAAGUCCCGUAACGAGCGCAACCCUUGACCUUAGUUGCCAGCAUUCAGUUGGGCACUCUAAGGUGACUGCCGGUGACAAACCGGAGGAAGGUGGGGAUGACGUCAAAUCAUCAUGCCCCUUAGGAACUGGGCUAACAACGUGCUACAAUGGACGGU